ensembl:snRNA U6 U6 spliceosomal RNA
GUGCUUGCUUUGGCAGCACAUAUACUAAAGUUGGAAUGAUACAGAGAAGAUUAGCAUGGCCUUUGUGCAAGAAGGACAUGCACAUUCAUGAAGGGUUCCAUGUUUUU